rnacentral:rRNA from 1 species
UACGGAGGGUGCGAGCGUUGUUCGGAAUCACUGGGCGUAAAGGGCGUGUAGGCGGUCCGCUAAGUCUGAUGUGAAAGCCCGGGGCUCACCCCCGGAAGGGCAUUGGAAACUGACGGACUCGAGUCCCGAAGAGGAGGGUGGAAUUCCAGGUGUAGCAGUGAAAUGCGUAGAGAUCUGGAGGAACACCGAUGGCGAAGGCAGCCCCCUGGGCUAACACUGACGCUGAGAAGCGAAAGCAUGGGGAGCGAACAGG